rnacentral:rRNA from 1 species
GAUGAACGCUGGCGGCGUGCCUAACACAUGCCAGUCGAGCGAACGGACGAGAAGCUCGCUUCUCUGAUGUUAGCGGCUGACGGGCGGGUAACACGUGGAUAACCAACCUCUAUUACGGGGAUAACUUCGGGAAACCGGUGCUAAUACCAGAUAAUAUUUUCUACCGCAUGGUUCAAAAGUGAAAGACGGUCUUCCUGUCACUUAUAGACGGAUCCGCGCUGCAUUAGCUAGUUGGUAAGGUAACGGCUUACCAAGGCAACGAUGCGUAGCCGACCUGAGAGGAUGAUCGGCCACACUGGAACUGAGACACGGUCCAGACUCCUACGGGAGGCAGCAGUAGGGAAUAUUCGGCAAUGGGCGAAAGCCUGACGGAGCAACGCCGCGUGGGUGAUGAAGGUCUUCGGAUCGUAAAGCUCUGUUAUUAGGGAAGAACAUAUGUGUAAGUAACUGUGCACAUCUUGACGGUACCUAAUGAGAAAGCCACGGCUAACUACGUG